rnacentral:rRNA from 1 species
UUGACCUCGGAUCAGGUAGGGAUACCCGCUGAACUUAAGCAUAUCAAUAAGCGGAGGAAAAGAAACCAACAGGGAUUGCCCUAGUAACGGCGAGUGAAGCGGCAACAGCUCAAAUUUGAAAUCUGGCUCUUUCAGAGUCCGAGUUGUAAUUUGCAGAGGGCGCUUUGGCGUUGGCAGCGGUCCAAGUUCUUUGG